UGAGGAAUAUUGCGCAAUGGAGGCAACUCUGACGCAGCCAUGCCGCGUGCAGGAAGAAGGCGCUACGCGUUGUAAACUGCUUUUAAUCGGGAAGAAACCCCGGGACGUGUCCCGGGUUGACGGUACCGAUGGAAUAAGCACCGGCUAACUUCGUGCCAUCAGCCGCGGUAAUACGAAGGGUGCAAUCGUUAUCCGGGUUCAUUGGGUUUAAAGUGUGCGUAGGCGGGACAGCAAGUCAGCGGUGAAAUCCCGUGGCUCAACCACGGAAUUGCCGUUGAUACUGCUGUUCUUGAGUACGAUUGACGUGGGCGGAAUGUGCCGUGUAGCGGUGAAAUGCUUAGAUAUGGAACAGAACACCGAUAGUGAAGACAGCUCACGAAGACGAAACUGACGCUGAGGCAAGAAAGCGUGGGGAUCAAACA
rnacentral:rRNA from 1 species